AUACGGAGGGUGCAAGCGUUACUCGGAAUCACUGGGCGUAAAGCGCGCGCAGGCGGCUAUUUAAGUUGGAUGUGAAAGCCUACGGCUCAACCGUAGAACUGCAUCCAAAACUAUUUAGCUAGAGUGUGGGAGAGGAAGAUGGAAUUAGUUGUGUAGGGGUAAAAUCCGUAGGGAUAACUAGGAAUACCAAAAGCGAAGGCAAUCUUCUGGAACACUACUGACGCUGAGGCGCGAAAGCGUGGGGAGCAAACGGGAUUAGAAACCCUAGUAGUCC
rnacentral:rRNA from 1 species